CCUACGGGAGGCAGCAGUGAGGAAUAUUGGUCAAUGGACGAGAGUCUGAACCAGCCAAGUAGCGUGAAGGAUGACUGCCCUAUGGGUUGUAAACUUCUUUUAUAAAGGAAUAAAACGAGGCACGUGUGCCUUUUUGCAUGUACUUUAUGAAUAAGGAUCGGCUAACUCCGUGCCAGCAGCCGCGGUAAUACGGAGGAUCCGAGCGUUAUCCGGAUUUAUUGGGUUUAAGGGGAGCGUAGAUGGGUUGUUAAGUCAGUUGUGAAAGUUUGCGGCUCAACCGUAAAAUUGCAAUUGAUACUGGCAGUCGUGAGUACAGUUGAGGUAGGCGGAAUUCGUGGUGUAGCGGUGAAAUGCUUAGAUAUCACGAAGAACCCCGAUUGCGAAGGCAGCUUACUAAACUGUGACUGACAUUGAUGCUCGAAAGUGUGGGUAUCAAACAGGAUUAGAUACCCGUGUAGUC
rnacentral:rRNA from 1 species